CCUACGGGAGGUAGCAGUGAGGAAUAUUGGUCAAUGGUCGGGAGCCUGAACCAGCCAAGCCGCGUGAGGGAGGAAGGUACAGAGUAUCGUAAACCUCUUUUGUCAGGGAACAAAGGCGGGUACGUGUCCCCGGCUGCGUGUACCUGAAGAAAAAGCAUCGGCUAACUCCGUGCCAGCAGCCGCGGUAAUACGGAGGAUGCGAGAGUUAUCCGGAUUUAUGGGGUUUAAAGGGUGCGCAGGCGGGCUGUUAAGUCGGCGGUCAAAGCCCGGGGCUCAACCCCGGCCCGCCGUUGAAACUGGCAGUCUCGAGUUGGAGAGAAGUAUGCGGAAUGCGCGGUGUAGCGGUGAAAUGCAUAGAUAUCGCGAAGAACUCCGAUUGCGAAGGCAGCAUGCCGGCUCCACACUGACGCUGAGGCACGAAAGCGUGGGUAUCGAACAGGAUUAGAUACCCGGGUAGUC
rnacentral:rRNA from 1 species